UGAGGAAUAUUGGUCAAUGGGGGCAACCCUGAACCAGCCAAGUCGCGUGAAGGAUGAAGGUCUUAUGGAUUGUAAACUUCUUUUAUACGGGAAUAAAGUGGGGGACGUGUCCCCUUUUGCAUGUACCGUAUGAAUAAGGAUCGGCUAACUCCGUGCCAGCAGCCGCGGUAAUACGGAGGAUCCGAGCGUUAUCCGGAUUUAUUGGGUUUAAAGGGUGCGCAGGCGGGAUGUUAAGUCGGCGGUGAAAUUUUGCAGCUCAACUGUAAAAGUGCCUUCGAUACUGGCCUCCUUGAGUGUGGAUGAAGUAGGCGGAAUUUGUGGUGUAGCGGUGAAAUGCUUAGAUAUCACGAGGAACUCCGAUUGCGCAGGCAGCUUACUAAACCACAACUGACGCUCAUGCACGAAGGCGUGGGGAUCAAACAGG
rnacentral:rRNA from 1 species